CUUUUCCUUACUUAUUGGUUUGCUUAUUGUUUACCAAUAUUGUGAUUUUUUUUUAAACAAUUGCCAGAAUAAAUUUACAAACUAAAGUCAAUCACGUUAUUUUUUUACAGCUCGCUGAACUGCUUAACAAAAUGAAAACUGCAAGAGUCCAUCUUGAAGACCUGAGAAAGGAAUUGGCAAAAAAAAGGGAUGAGAACCUUGCAAAUAAGAAAUGGAAUUUUGGCAAGGAAUUGCCAGAUAUCUCGGACUGGGAAAAAUAUCUGGAAGAUCAUGAAACCAUUUCAACUCUUGAAAAGAGUAUGAAAGAACUCGAGGAGGCUUCCGAGGAGUUGUGGCAGGAGCUGGAAGACAGUCCCGGUGCCAGUCCACUCAGAGAAAGAUUUAAUUUCAUGGUUGAAUAUGUGAGCACAUCUCUGCUCUUUCUGGCAGCUCGCCCCGGGGAGUUGGCGAACUGCACAUAUAAAGAGCUAACUGACGCGGAAGCCGUGCAGGAUGGUUUGCACGUGCUUGUCUCAAAGCACAAGACGGGUCGGUUCAAGAAAGCCGUUAUUGAGAUACCUGCCGAGAGAAAAGAACUGUUUUUCAGAUAAAAGGAAAUUCUAGCGAGGUUUUCUUCGCCUCCGUCGCUGGGUUUUCCAUUCUUGUCACCAACUAAAGGUUUCACGGAAAACACAAAUAUAUACCGUCGCUUAAACCGAUGGCUUUCUAAGAACAAUUUGCCACUUUUUACCUGCACCAAGCUCAGAAAAGCAGUUGAAACCAAUGCAGGUCUCUUUGCCUCCGAUUCAGACAGAAAGCUUGUCGGUUCAGGUUUAAACCACUCAGCAAAAACUGUAGAGAAGUCAUAUAACGUGCAGACAAUGUAAUAUAUACUAAACAUGAAGACAAAGCUUGUGGAAAGUUUUUCCUCUUUUGGUGCAAUUUUUUGUUGAUUAGCUGCAUACAGUAUUACGUACUUAAAACUUGCUUAGUAUUACUAUAAAAACUUA